UUUCAUCGUUGCACGGCUCCGCUCGACUUUAUUUCACAAAAUUCACAUGACCCGUGCGCAAAAAUCUGCAUGCCCUUCGAUUCGUCCCGAAACGGGUCGAAGCAAACGACAAGGUCACGCUGAUUAAUCCCUCCUCCGUUGAACAUUGCGGUUUGCCGGAGGUUCUACCAAGUCGGAGACGCGGGGGGGUGUUUUGACACCACAAAUGUAUGCUAAUUAGCCGGGGCCGACUGUUCCAAGCACGUGAUGUGGAGAGAACAGGAGACAUCUGAAGGGUGUGUUCCUGCGCUGCGCUCUGGAAUGUGCAAAGGUUUUAUUGUGAGAGCCCUGAGUUGUGAAUCAAUGAAAGCCAUCUCUGUGCUAGGUUUUAUUGUCAGCGCCUUGAGCUGUGUAUCAACUGAAACCGUCUUCUGUGCAUAGAUUUUAUUGUUAGGGCUCUGAGCUGUGUAUCAACUAACACCAUUUCUGUGCAGGAUUUUAUGGUGAGAGUCCAGAACUGAGCUAAAAGCAACUGAUUUACACCAUCACAGUACUGACUGAUCAUUCUUCAGAGUGAAACUUGCAAAAUUAUAAGCUGUGUGUAUCAUCAUCCACUCACCCAAGCCACCCUCUCCAAAUUGAAGGUCAUUUCCUAGUGAUAUAGUAAAAUUCUGAUUAUUUUAAUCUGAUUAUACUGCCAAAGAAUAUUUACAGGAUCUGCUGAGGGACAACUGCUGUGCUGGUUUUCACUUGUCUACCUGAACAUGUUCUUAUCUCCUUUGGAGGAGAUUGGCAAUUCAAAUCUUCCAUGGACUCUCGACUCAUCAGUAGGAGAGUUGACAGGAGCCUCCACUUCAGCAACCUGACCGUGACCUGGAACUCUUGAUGAAUGCAGUAUUGCUGAUCUGCUCAAAUGUGAUGCCUUAACUAUGUGGAACAUUGCCUUUGGGUAGAAAUUAGAGCAUGUCUGUUUCAGACCACGGUGGUUCAAUGUGGUAUCUGUUCCACUGCUUCAUCAAAGCAAGCUCGGGUUUGAAUUCAGACUGGCUGUCCUGGUGGAGGUCUGGCAGUUUGCAUGCUUUGACAUUCUUCAUAGUUUCACCACUGACUGGAAUGGUGAUCAUCCAGUUUAUCCCUCAUGUUUUCAAGGCAGCCUCUUGUAAACUCAUUGUCAGUGUAUGUGGAAGAGGAGAGAGUUGCAUUCUCAGUCUUCCCAUGAGGGGUCUGUAUGCAGCUAAACUAUUCUGGGGUGGAGUUGAACAAUAGCUCCAAAGUGCAGGUUGAAUGCCAUCAUUCUUCUUCAGCAGUGCUUUCACUGUAAAUACUCAUCUUUUAGCUUCUCAGUUGUCUUGAAGAUAUCUUGAUCACCCAGUAGUAUGGACAAAUGUAUUUGAUGUUGAGAACUUUUUAUCAUACUCAGUGACAAACUGUGGUUCAUUAUCUGAGAUUAGAAGGUCCAGGAUUCCAAGUAUUGCAAAGAUCUCCUUUAGCAAUGUCAUCACUGCUCCAGUUCACGUGACUCUUCUGGCAACACAAUGACUGAGCUAAACCAGAGAUACACAAAAUUGAAUGAAGAAAAGCUCAGGUCAAAGAGUAUUGCAUCCUGGGGAGUGUUACUGAACAAAGGGACCUUGGGGUGCAGGUUCAUAAUUCCUUGAAAAUGGAGUUGCAGGUAGACAGGGUGGUGAAGAAGGCAUUUGGUACACUUGCCUUUAUUGGUCAAUGCAGUGAGUAUAGGAGUUGGGAGAUCAAUUUGCAGCUGUACAGGACAUUGGUUAGGCCACUUUUGGAAUACGACGUUCAAUUCUGGUCUCCCUGCUUUUGUUAAGAUGUUGUUAAACUUGAGAGGGUUCAGAAAAUAAUUACAAGGAUGUUGCCAGGGUUGAAAGGUUUGAGCUAUAGGGAGAAGCUGAAUAGGCUGGAGCUACUUUCUCUGUAGUGUCGGAGAUUGAGGGGUGACCUUAUAGAGGUUUAUAAAAUCAUGAGCAUGGAAAGGGUGAAUAACCAAGCUCUUUUUCCCAGGCACAAAACUAGAAGGUAUAGGUUUAAGGUGAGUGGGAAAGAUUUAAAAGGGACCUAAGGAGCAAUGUUUUCAUGCAGAGGGUGGUGCAUGUGUGGAAUGAGCUGCCAGAGGAAGUGGUGAAGGCUGGUACAGUUACAUUUAAAUGGCAUCUGGAUGGGUACAUGAACAGGAAAGGUUUACAAGGAUAUGGGCCAAAUGCUGGCAAAUGGGACUAGGUUAAUUUAGAAGGCACAACAACACCUCUUCUUCCUCUUGUGGCUUAGGAAAUUCAGUAUUUCCAUAAGGACCUUCCCGAAUUUUUACGGAUGCGCCAUAAAAAGCAUAUUGUCCGGUUGCAUAAUGGCCUGGUACAGCAGUUGCUCUGCCAAGGACUGUAAAAAACUACAGAAGGUUCUGUGCACAGCCCAGACCAUCACGGAAGCCAACCUCCCAUUCACGGACUCUAUUUACACCUCUCGUUGCCGCGGAAAGGCUGCCAACAUCAACAAAGACCUCUCCCACUCCAAUAAUGCUCUCCUACAACCUCUUUCAUCAGGCAGAAGAAACAGAAGCUUGAACACAUGCACCAACAGCUUCUUCUCUGCCAUUAUUAGACUGAUGAAUGGACUCUAACUUCAAAUAAUGUUGAUCUUGUUUUGCGUACCUCCUGUGCAGUGCAACCUGUGUGCCUCGCUCUUGUAAGCACCCUAUGAUCUGUACAUCCUUGUUUGUUAUGAUCUGCCUGUACUGCUCGCAAGCAAAGCUUUUUAUUGUACUUUGGUUUAUGUGACUACAAUAAAUCAAAUCAAAUCAAA